rnacentral:rRNA from 1 species
GACAGAGGAUGCAAGCGUUAUCCGGAAUGAUUGGGCGUAAAGCGUCUGUAGGUGGCUUUUUAAGUCCGCCGUCAAAUCCCAGGGCUCAACCCUGGACAGGCGGUGGAAACUACCAAGCUGGAGUACGGUAGGGGCAGAGGGAAUUUCCGGUGGAGCGGUGAAAUGCGUAGAGAUCGGAAAGAACACCGAUGGCGAAGGCACUUUACUGGGCUAUUACUAACACUGAGACGACGAAAGCUAGGGUAGCAAAUGGGGAUUAAGA